GAUUGUAGUCUGCAACUCGACUACAUGAAGCUGGAAUCGCUAGUAAUCGCGAAUCAGAAUGUCGCGGUGAAUACGUUCCCGGGUCUUGUACACACCGCCCGUCACACCAUGGGAGUCAGUAACGCCCGAAGCCGGUGACCCAACCGAUAAGGAGGGAGCCGUCGAAGGUGGGACCGAUAACUGGGGUGAAGUCGUAACAAGGUAUC
rnacentral:rRNA from 1 species